CAGGACUACCCGGGUUUCUAAUCCUGUUCGCUCCCCUAGCUUUCGCGCCUCAGCGUCAGUCGUGGCCCAGAAAGCCGCCUUCGCCACUGGUGUUCCUCCCAAUAUCUGCGCAUUUCACCGCUACACUGGGAAUUCCACUUUCCUCUACCAGACUCAAGCCUGCCAGUUCGAGAUGCAGGCCGCGGGUUAAGCCCCCGGUUUUCACAUCUCGCUUAACAAGCCGCCUACGCGCGCUUUACGCCCAAUAAAUCCGGAUAACGCUUGCCCCCUACGUAUUACCGCGGCGGCUGACAC
rnacentral:misc_RNA from 1 species